rnacentral:rRNA from 1 species
GGCGCUCGGAGAACGUGAGGGGGGCUGCGUCCUACGUACGAGAGGACSGGASGAUGGACAGCAUCACUGGUGUUCGGGUUGUCAUGCCAAUGGCACUGCCCGGUAGCUAAAUGCGGAAGAGAUAAGUGCUGAAAGCAUCUAAGACACGAAACUUGCCCCGACGAUGAGUUCUCCCUGACUCCUUGAGAGUCCUGAAGGAACGUUGAAGACGACGACGUUGAUAGGCCGGGUGUGUAAGCGCAGCGAUGCGUUGAGCUAACCGGUACUAAUGAACCGUGAGGCUUAACCUUACAACGCCGAAGGUGUUU